rnacentral:rRNA from 1 species
GUAACUGCGAGUGAAGCGGGAAAAGCUCAAAUUUAAAAUCUGGCAGUCUCACUGUCCGAGUUGUAAUCUGGAGAAGCAUUUUCUGUGUCGGACCGUGUACAAGUCUCUUGGAAUAGAGCGUCAUAGAGGGUGAGAAUCCCGUCCAUGACACGGACGCCCGAUACUUUGUGAUAUGCUCUCGAAGAGUCGAGUUGUUUGGGAAUGCAGCUCAAAAUGGGUGGUAAAUUCCAUCUAAAGCUAAAUAUUGGCGAGAGACCGAUAGCGAACAAGUACCGUGAGGGAAAGAUGAAAAGCACUUUGGAAAGAGAGUUAAACAGUACGUGAAAUUGUUGAAAGGGAAACGCUUGAAGUCAGUCGCGUUGUCUGAGACUCAGCCUUGCUUUUGCUUGGUGUACUUCUUAGUUAACGGGUCAACAUCAAUUUUGGUUGGUGGAUAAAGGCGUCGGGAAUGUGGCACCUUCGGGUGUGUUAUAGCCCUUCGUUGCAUACAUUGACUGGGAUUGAGGACUGCAGCACGCCGUCAUGGCCGGGGGUUCGCCCUA